GGACGGGCCUCUUUGCUUGCUGACGUCAUCGCUCGCCCGCCGGCAUGAACUUCGUUGCACGCACGGAGAGUGCCGAGCCGAAUACCACCGGAUUUACACGAACCUGCACGAUCGUCCUCGCCAGAACUGUGAUCUUUAUGGAGAAAGAAAAACGCAUGGAUCAAAGGCGGACACAGGAAUACAACGUAUGCAUAUCAGUCGCUCUGAUGGCUUCUGAUGCAGAUGACGUGCAGAUUAGUGGUUGCAUCAGAGGGUUCUUGCUUUGAGACAUCCAGUUAAAGUGCUUCUUCUCCUCUGCCCGAUGCAUUUCCGGAUAAUUUAGAUCGUGCAAUGCUCCCUCUGUUAUGUGCUUACCGCUACACACGUAUCUGCAUAUGUAAGGGUAUGCUCGUUCAUCAAGUCGUUGACGUAUGAUAAAAUCGUUUACCGUCGUUGUCUUUUAAAUUCAUUUUGGUGUACCGAUAGACGUAAGUACAAUUAGGAAUAUGUUUUAGAAAUUAAAGGUAUGAGAUUUUCAUUAAUUUCUUGCUUUAUGAUUUUUUAAACCGUGAUUAACGGAGUGUUAACUAUUUAUAACUGUAACAACAUGUCAAAUAGAAAAUAUAAAAAUA